rnacentral:ncRNA from 1 species
AUAAAAUAAUUAUGUUUUUAGAAAUUUAUUGUUAAUUUAUUUUACAUAUAAAUUUUAGUAUAUAAUUUUAAUUAUUUUAAUAAUAAUUAAUUUAAUUUUAGUAGUAAUUAAUAUUAAAAAUUUAAGAAAUUAAGAUUUAGUAAUAUAAAAAUUAAUAACUAAUUUUGUGCCAGCAGUUGCGGUUAAACAAAAGUUAAAUUAAAUUAUUUCAGUAUAUAAUAAAUAAUUAAAUAUUAUUAAAUUAAAUAUUAAAUUAUUAAGUGAAAUUUUAAUUUAAUUAAAUUUUAUUUUAAAAUUAUGAUUUAAUAAAUUUUAAUAUAAACUAGGAUUAGAUACCCUAUUAUUAAAAAUUUAAUUUAUAAUACUAAAAUAGUAAAUAAUAAUUUAUUGAAACUUAAAUAACAUGGCGGUAUUUUAGUUCAUUUAGAGGAAUCUGUCUAAUAAUUGAUAAUCCACGAAUAAAUUUACUUAAUUUAUAAUUUUGUAUAUCAUUGUUAAAAAAAUAUUUUUUAGGGAAAAUAAUAUUUAAAAAUUAAAAUUAGAAAUUAAAUCAGAUCAAGAUGCAGAAUAUAAUUAAGAAUAUGAUGGAUUACAUUAAAAAUAUUUAAAUGGAUAAUUUUAUUGUAAAAUAAAUUUGAAGGUGGAUUUAAAUGUAAUUUUAAUUAAUUUAUUAAAAUGAUUAAAAAUUAAAAUAUGUACAUAUUGCCCGUCACUUUCAUUUAAAAAUUGAAAUAAGUCGUAACAAAGUAGAGGUACUGGAAAGUGUUUCUAGAAAGA